UAUGAUUUAUGCACUUGCUGGAAGCAAACAUAAGUACUCAAGUUCACUCUAACGUUUUCUGCACUACACGAUCAAGUCGUUUUCCCCGAGGACCAAACAUACCAAUGAAGUAAAAUCGUGUUGUUCCAUAAUGUGCCCACGGCUUUGCUUCCAUUGGGAUGGCAUACUGAGAAAUUCUAUUACAGGUUUGUUGCAUUUUUUGUCGCUUGGCUAAAUGAACGCCUCCUUCUUCUUCCCAUUCAUACACAACAUUGACGCCAAUCUCUUUAGUCACAAAACAUGUACUGCUAUAUGUA
rnacentral:lncRNA from 1 species